UACGGAGGGUGCAAGCGUUAUCCGGAUUCACUGGGUUUAAAGGGUGCGUAGGUGGGCAGGUAAGUCCGUGGUGAAAUCCCCGAGCUUAACUCGGGAACUGCCAUGGAUACUAUUUGUCUUGAAUAUUGUGGAGGUAAGCGGAAUAUGUCAUGUAGCGGUGAAAUGCUUAGAUAUGACAUAGAACACCAAUUGCGAAGGCAGCUUACUACACAGUUAUUGACGCUGAGGCACGAAAGCGUGGGGAUCAAACAGG
rnacentral:rRNA from 1 species